rnacentral:rRNA from 1 species
CUACGGGUGGCAGCAGUGAGGAAUAUUGCACAAUGGGGGGAACCCUGAUGCAGCAACGCCGCGUGGAGGAUGACGCAUUUCGGUGUGUAAACUCCUUUUAUAUGUCAAGAAAAUGACGGUAGCAUAUGAGUAAGCACCGGCUAACUCCGUGCCAGCAGCCGCGGUAAUACGGAGGGUGCAAGCGUUACUCGGAAUCACUGGGCGUAAGGGACGCGUAGGCGGGUUGGAAAGUCAGGUGUGAAAUCCUACAGCUUAACUGUAGAACUGCACUUGAAACUUCUAAUCUAGAGUAUGGGAGGGGGAGAUGGAAUUAGUGGUGUAGGGGUAAAAUCCGUAGAUAUCACUAGGAAUACCUAAAGCGAAGGCGAUCUCCUGGAACAUUACUGACGCUAAGGCGUGAAAGCGUGGGGAGCAAACAGGAUUAGAUACCCGUGUAGUC